rnacentral:rRNA from 1 species
GACGAACGCUGGCGGCGUGCUUAACACAUGCAAGUCGAACGAAGAGCGAUGGAAGCUUGCUUCUAUCAAUCUUAGUGGCGAACGGGUGAGUAACGCGUAAUCAACCUGCCCUUCAGAGGGGGACAACAGUUGGAAACGACUGCUAAUACCGCAUACGAUCUAACCUCGGCAUCGAGGAUAGAUGAAAGGUGGCCUCUACAUGUAAGCUAUCACUGAAGGAGGGGAUUGCGUCUGAUUAGCUAGUUGGAGGGGUAACGGCCCACCAAGGCGAUGAUCAGUAGCCGGUCUGAGAGGAUGGACGGCCACAUUGGGACUGAGACACGGCCCAGACUCCUACGGGAGGCAGCAGUGGGGAAUCUUCCGCAAUGGACGAAAGUCUGACGGAGCAACGCCGCGUGAGUGAUGACGGCCUUCGGGUUGUAAAGCUCUGUUAAUCGGGACGAAAGGCCUUCUUGCGAAUAGUGAGAAGGAUUGACGGUACCGGAAUAGAAAGCCACGGCUAACUACGUG